CGGCCACACUGGGACUGAGACACGGCCCAGACUCCUACGGGAGGCAGCAGUGGGGAAUAUUGCACAAUGGGCGAAAGCCUGAUGCAGCGACGCCGCGUGAGGGAUGACGGCCUUCGGGUUGUAAACCUCUUUCAGCAGGGAAGAAGCGAAAGUGACGGUACCUGCAGAAGAAGCGCCGGCUAACUACGUGCCAGCAGCCGCGGUAAUACGUAGGGCGCAAGCGUUGUCCGGAAUUAUUGGGCGUAAAGAGCUCGUAGGCGGCUUGUCACGUCGGUUGUGAAAGCCCGGGGCUUAACCCCGGGUCUGCAGUCGAUACGGGCAGGCUAGAGUUCGGUAGGGGAGAUCGGAAUUCCUGGUGUAGCGGUGAAAUGCGCAGAUAUCAGGAGGAACACCGGUGGCGAAGGCGGAUCUCUGGGCCGAUACUGACGCUGAGGAGCGAAAGCGUGGGGAGCGAACAGGAUUAGAUACCCUGGUAGUCCACGCCGUAAACGGUGGGCACUAGGUGUGGGCAACAUUCCACGUUGUCCGUGCCGCAGCUAACGCAUUAAGUGCCCCGCCUGGGGAGUACGG
rnacentral:rRNA from 1 species